rnacentral:rRNA from 1 species
AUUGAACGCUGGCGGCAGGCCUAACACAUGCAAGUCGAGCGGUAGAGAGGUGCUUGCACCUCUUGAGAGCGGCGGACGGGUGAGUUAUGCCUAGGAAUCUGCCUGGUAGUGGGGGAUAACGCUCGGAAACGGACGCUAAUACCGCAUACGUCCUACGGGAGAAAGCAGGGGACCUUCGGGCCUUGCGCUAUCAGAUGAGCCUAGGUCGGAUUAGCUAGUUGGUGAGGUAAUGGCUCACCAAGGCGACGAUCCGUAACUGGUCUGAGAGGAUGAUCAGUCACACUGGAACUGAGACACGGUCCAGACUCCUACGGGAGGCAGCAGUGGGGAAUAUUGGACAAUGGGCGAAGGCUUGAUCCAGCCAUGCCGCGUGUGUGAAGAAGGUCUUCGGAUUGUAAAGCACUUUAAGUUGGGAGGAAGGGUCGUUACCUAAUACGUGACGAUUUUGACGUUACCGACAGAAUAAGCACCGGCUAACUCUGUGCCAGCCGCCGCAGUAAAAC